UGAAGUUGUUUACAAUUUCAAAAUUCUGUUUCUAACAGUAAUGUCGGACAACCACUGGUGCGCGUUCUGAAUGAACUCAUUAUGCAUAGUACCACGAGCCCAUACACCAUUUCAAUUCAACAGUGCUGUCUAUUCACGAAAUACUACAGCGUCUGAAGUCGAUUCUAAAAGCCAAAAGGCUUAAGCACGAAUAGGUGCGCCGAAAUAAUGAAUAAAAGGAUUCAUCUGCAAGAAGAGAAGUCUUCGACGGUAGAUAUAUUCGACACGAAUUGAGGAAGUUCAAAUGCAGACAGACGGGACACGAUGUCAAGAUUUUUGACAGAGGCACUAAACAGCGGGGUGCACGUGUAGAUCGAAACCAGACUCCGCGAUAAUAAACUACAAAUACUAUUUUUAUAAAGAAGUCGUUACACAUGUAUCAACCGAACUGAAAUAUGCUGGGAACUUUCCUGACAACCUAUCCUAAUUUUCUCUUAUAGAAAGAACUAAUAAUGCUUCGCUUUAAUAUGCUGUAUGAUUAAUAAUAUGCUUACGACAUAGAGUAAAUUCAAAUAAUACAGAACAUAACAGGUACAUACUUUAA